GGAAUGCGACUCAGUGGAAGAGCCUCUGCCUUGUGAGCAGAAGGUUCCAGAUUCAAUUCCUGCCAUCUCCA
rnacentral:tRNA from 1 species